CCUGUGCUUUUCCUACUAUGACAUGUCAACAUCAUGUCUGCCGUGAAAAAUGUCUAUACAUUCGUGACAGACUAAAAUAUAACAAAAUAACAAAUGGAAUUGUUGGUUGAGGGAACAAAAUGUGUAAAAAUAACAUUUAUUCUCGAAACGUGCCACCAGCGAGGUCGCAGCUAGCGAGCUAUAGCUAGGUAGCGACAGCAAUGGUUAAGCUAGCUCCGCUAACGUUAGCGUGGACGACAACACGGACAUCGCAGAGCUACAAACGAGGAAGAGGCCGAAGAAUCAGACUUGGACACUGCACUUGUGGCAGAAAUGGACGGAUAAACAACCAAAGGCCUUGGAAAGUGGAUUCCGGAGCCGGAAGCAACUGGAGAUGCUCAAUACCAUUUCUUCGCCCAGCCUGUUAACUUGCCAACGUUAGCCAUGAAGCUACAUGAAGGCGCAGAACGUAUGUGGUGGUUGGCCAUCGUCUGGUCUCUUUGCGGUGGGUUCAAGUGCAACUUUUUGGCCAAGACAGAGACGACGUAAGUCCAGACGAGAUGGCAAGCCAGCAGGGAGAGAGAGAGGGAUUUCAACGUCACAGAGAGGGACCGGUCGUAGAGUUGCAACCCUAAAGUGGAUUUUCAUGUUUGUCUGUACUUUCCAGACAUGCGGAUGACUACCCAGGGGAUGCACAAGACCUGUGUCCUUGAUUUGCAGUGGCCAUU